GACGUAGGAGGCGAGCGUUGUCCGGAGUUACUGGGCGUAAAGCGUGCGCAGGCGGUGAUGUAAGACAGUUGUGAAAUCCCCGGGCUCAACCUGGGAACUGCAUCUGUGACUGCAUCGCUGGAGUGCGGCAGAGGGGGAUGGAAUUCCGCGUGUAGCAGUGAAAUGCGUAGAUAUGCGGAGGAACACCGAUGGCGAAGGCAAUCCCCUGGGCCUGCACUGACGCUCAUGCACGAAAGCGUGGGGAGCAAACAGG
rnacentral:rRNA from 1 species